GCCUCAAAUCGGGUGAGACUACCCGCUGAACUUAAGCAUAC
rnacentral:rRNA from 1 species